ACACGACUACAUUAGAUACCCGGGUAGUCCCAGCCCUAAACGAUGCGCGUUAGGUGUAUCGGUGACCACGAGUCACCGAGGUGCCGAAGGGAAACCGUGAAACGUGCCGCCUGGGAAGUACGGUCGCAAGGCUGAAACUUAAAGGAAUUGCGGGGAGCACCACAACGGGUGGAGCCUGCGGUUUAAUUGGACUCAACGCCGGGAAGCUUACCGGAUAAGACAGCGGAAUGAUUGCCGGGCUGAAGACUCUGCAUGACCAGCUG
rnacentral:rRNA from 1 species